CGCCACGCGCCUUCUCAUCUCCUCCGCCGAAAAUCACCCCGUGCCCUAACCUCCUAGCGUCGGCGGUUCCUUCUCCUUCGAGUACAAGCUGUGGCAAGGGGAAAUCUUCCCUUUUCUCACCGAUUCUGCCCUAGAUGCCGGUACUGAGCCGAUCCUCUUCCCCCAUUUCUACUUCUUCCUCGUCUCCACAGUCGCUCCUUAGCCGUGCCCUAGAAUGAGCGCCGACCACUGUGCGGUGGAUCUGAGCCACACCGCCGACGCCUCUUCCUUUGCAGAGUGUCGUCGCCGCACUGGACAGAGCCGGCGCCACUGCCGAUCACCCCGUGCCGACGCCACCUUCUUCUUCCCUUGCCCUCUCUGCCUUCGUGUCGGCUGCCGUCUUCUUGUUGUGCCCUGGCGCCGCUGUCGACGCCAACAGACACCACCGGACCCUGCUAGUUCUUCACUGCCGGCUGAGGGUUGUUGCUCUUCUCGGUGACGAUCACUGGACUUGAAGAGCAUUCCGGCCACUGUUGCUUGCUUCCAUCGCCGGAGAAGGUCAGUGAACAACAGCAGGACUUAUGACCAUGAAGAGCAUUGCUGAUUGGAACAUGAAGCCAACACAAGAAACUGAUGCAACAUUGAUGAUCAUGUUGUUGACUAAGCAUCAUCAUGUUGGAGAACAAUUGUUGGUCCUCCAAGCUGAACGUUAUUGAUUUGGGUGGUUCUUCUAAGCAACCAAGUUGUGGUUCUGUGCUGGUCAAGAGAGGGAUGUGCUGCUCUUACUUCUUCGACUGUGUAUCACAGUAGUGGUUUGGUGAAAAGAAAGUAAGUGAUUGAUUCUUAUGAGGUGAUGAAUAGGGAUUAUAAUUGUUGCAAGUUCUAAUUUGUAUGAAUUAGUUAUGAAAUGAUUGAGGAGUUGAUGAUCCCAUUUAAGGUUCAAAAUUGGAUUUGGAUUUAGGACUGUGAUUCGAGACGGGCGUCUCGACAUCGGGUUGGCUCGAUUCGAUCUAUAUCGGAG